CUAAUGCUAAUGUCCUAGAAGCUGGAAUGACUAAGUUAAGAGACUGGAGAAUCUGGACAGUUGGACGAGCCGGAUAUGCAAAGGUUGGUAUCUGACCCGUCAAUCUGGAUUUGCCUUUCAAGAUCUUCUAUUCUGUCAAACUCUAUCGACUGGAGCUCGUCUUGCACAGCCAAAGGACCACUUUUCCCAGCACCGGUCCCUUCUGUAAUAGUUGUCAAUUUUGAAGAUUUGCGGGGCUUGCCCUUAUAAUCACGAGAGGCAUAGGAAUUCCCACUGGCCCUGGAAUCAAAACUUUGAAGCUCAAGCCUUCCAGAAGUCUGGAGGCCAGAAUAAGAAUGAUCGUAUGAUGGAUUGAUGAAGCUAUGGAAAACACCAUUAGUCGCCCGCGAUAAGUAAUAAUCAUUAGCUGAUUUCCUGAAAAUCCUACUCCCAUGUGCUGCUGAAGUGAAUGAAGCGUCAGAAGCUGUCCACGGACUUAGUGCUGCACUAAGGUUGCGAUUAUCGCGCCACCCUGUUGGCUCAAAUUGCCAAGAGAGCUCGCCUUGCCAUGACCUGUCAAAAUAUUGUGUCACGUUUACUUCAACAAUUUUUAUAUGUACAAAAAAAAAAUUGUUUUAGCCUAUUUGUCCAACAAGACUUUCCGACAAUGGGGAUUCAGUUGAACCUCUUUCAAUACAUGUAGCUAUGCGACUGACCUGUCAUCAUCGGAGGCAAAAGGACUAGCAGGUGGGGGGUUGCGCACACGACUAAAGUUGUUGUAGGACGAAGACAUUGACAUUGAGAAUGAUGUGGAAGGUUGCUGUGAGACCACAGGUGUAGUAUGGCGUCUCUGCCUAGUGGAAGAUGAAAACUCAGAAUGAGCCAUUUGGAUUAAUGCUGUUGAUGAUGAAGAAUUUCUUAUUGUGGCUCUGUUCAAGUUAUAGCAUGGUAGUAGACAAAUAUGAACAUGGAAAGGUAUAUUUACAGCUCUCUAUUAACAGUUGUUCCCAGGAUGAAUGUUUUUUAACAACAAAAUGCCUUUGAUCAAUC